rnacentral:rRNA from 1 species
UACAGAGGGUGCGAGCGUUGUUCGGAAUUAUUGGGCGUAAAGAGCUCGUAGGCGGUUUGUUGCGUCGGCUGUGAAAUCCCGAGGCUCAACCUCGGGUCUGCAGUCGAUACGAGCAAACUAGAGUGUUGCAGGGGAGACUGGAAUUCCUGGUGUAGCGGUGAAAUGCGCAGAUAUCAGGAGGAACACCGGUGGCGAAGGCGGGUCUCUGGGCCGAUACUGACGCUGAGGAGCGGAAGCGUGGGGAGCGAACAGG